rnacentral:rRNA from 1 species
CCUACGGGUGACUGCAGUCGAGAAUCAUUCACAAUGGGGGAAACCCUGAUGGUGCGACGCCGCGUGGGGGAAUGAAGGUCUUCGGAUUGUAAACCCCUGUCAUGUGGGAGCAAAUUAAAAAGAUAGUACCACACGAGGAAGAGACGGCUAACUCUGUGCCAGCAGCCGCGGUAAUACAGAGGUCUCAAGCGUUGUUCGGAAUCACUGGGCGUAAAGCGUGCGUAGGCUGUUUCGUAAGUCGUGUGUGAAAGGCGCGGGCUCAACCCGCGGACGGCACAUGAUACUGCGAGACUAGAGUAAUGGAGGGGGAACCGGAAUUCUCGGUGUAGCAGUGAAAUGCGUAGAUAUCGAGAGGAACACUCGUGGCGAAGGCGGGUUCCUGGACAUUAACUGACGCUGAGGCACGAAGGCCAGGGGAGCGAAAGGGAUUAGAUACCCUAGUAGUC